rnacentral:rRNA from 1 species
AGAGUUUGAUCAUGGCUCAGAUUGAACGCUGGCGGCAGGCCUAACACAUGCAAGUCGAGCGGAAACGAUCCUAGCUUGCUAGGAGGCGUCGAGCGGCGGACGGGUGAGUAACGCGUGAGAAUCUACCCAUGAGUGGGGGACAACCCGGGGAAACUCGGGCUAAUACCGCAUACGCCCUACGGGGUAAAGCAGGGGACCUUCGGGCCUUGCGCUGAUGGAUGAGCUCGCGUCGGAUUAGCUUGUUGGUGAGGUAAAGGCUCACCAAGGCGACGAUCCGUAGCUGGUCUGAGAGGAUGAUCAGCCACACCGGGACUGAGACACGGCCCGGACUCCUACGGGAGGCAGCAGUGGGGAAUCUUGGACAAUGGGGGCAACCCUGAUCCAGCCAUGCCGCGUGUGUGAAGAAGGCCUUCGGGUUGUAAAGCACUUUCAGUAGGGAGGAAGGCUUACCCCUAAUACGGGUGAGUACUUGACGUUACCUACAGAAGAAGCACCGGCUAAUUUCGUGCCAGCAGCCGCGGUAAUACGAAAGGUGCAAGCGUUAAUCGGAAUUACUGGGCGUAAAGCGCGCGUAGGCGGUGUGUUAAGUCGGAUGUGAAAGCCCAGGGCUCAACCUUGGAAUUGCAUCCGAUACUGGCACGCUAGAGUGCAGUAGAGGGAGGUGGAAUUUCCGGUGUAGCGGUGAAAUGCGUAGAGAUCGGAAGGAACACCAGUGGCGAAGGCGGCCUCCUGGACUGACACUGACGCUGAGGUGCGAAAGCG